rnacentral:tRNA from 1 species
GGGGACGUAGCUCAGUUGGGAGAGCGCUACCUUCGCACGGUAGAGGUCGGCGGUUCGAAUCCGCUCGUCUCCACGA